GAUGAACGCUGGCGGCGUGCCUAACACAUGCAAGUCGAACGCUCGCAAGAGAGUGGCGCACGGGUGAGUAACACGUAGCUAAUCUGCCCUCAAGACAAGGAUAACUGUAGGAAACUACUGCUAAUACUUGAUAAGCUUACGGACUGUAGAGGUCUAUAAGAAAGAUUUAUCGCUUGAGGUUGAGGCUGCGCGCCAUCAGCUAGUUGGUAAGGUAAUGGCUUACCAAGGCGACGACGGCUAGGGGACCUGAGAGGGUGACCCCCCACACUGGGACUGAGACACGGCCCAGACUCCUACGGGAGGCAGCAGUGAGGAAUAUUGCUCAAUGGGCGCAAGCCUGAAGCAGCGACGCCGCGUGGAUGAAGAAGGUUUUCGGACUGUAAAAUCCUUUUCUGUGUGACGAGAGUGGACGGUAGCACAGGAAUAAGUCUCGGCUAACUACGUGCCAGCAGCCGCGGUAAU
rnacentral:rRNA from 1 species